rnacentral:lncRNA from 1 species
CCUGCGCUCGGGCGCGGCUCCACCCUCCUUUCGAGAACCGCCGCGUGGCUGGAGUCAUGGCGGCCUCAGCGGUGUCCGAGAAAGGCCGGCAAACUCCUGCCUUUGGCGGCGGCCGUUGUGUGGCAUCUGCGGCAACGGUGAGACGCAGACCUGCAGGUUGAACCUUAAAAGUGACGAAUGGAGCCUUGAAAUUAAAGAUGUUGGCUCUAGACUUGAAAAAAGACCCAUGAAAACCGUCAUCCGAAAACGGUACAGUGUCAGCCUCAGUUUGAGGCCGAAAAGGAAGCCCCGGAAGAAGACGCUGGCAGCAGUACCCCGCUGGCUGCCCUGGACCCAAGGCAGAAUUUCCCUUGUGUCUGCAGUGUGAGGCAGAACGGUUUUGCCUGGAGCAAGUGAAACGAUUCCUCUCCUGCUGUUACUAGUUAUCUCCCUGUGAUGCCAGACGGGAUCAGCACAGCCCCAGGAGCUAGUUGCUACUGCCUAUAAGAUACCCUCCCCCACCAAAGAGAAUCAUUUAAGGGUUUAGGAGUUGCUGUUGUGGCCCAGUGGGCUAAGAACCUGACAUAGUCUCUGUGAGGAUUCGAGUUUGAUCCCUGGCCUUGCUCAGCGGCUGGGCAUCCAGUGUUGCCCUCGUCUGUGGUGUAGGUUGUGGGUAAGGCUUGGGUCUGGCGUGGCUGUGGCUGUGGCGUGGGCUGGAGCCUCCAAUUCGACCCUUAGCCUGGGAGCUUCUGUGUGCUGUGGGUGCGACCCUAGACAGAACAUAAGAGUUACUUGAACUUCAUCUUUGGGAGUAGUCAGAGACAUUUUCUCUCGGAAGAUCUUGGGCAGUUAGUGAAAUUAGGUAGAACUAAGAACAUUCAGAACAACACGGUUUAGGUGUGUUGAGGUACAGCUCGCGGUGCUGGGACUGCAGCGGUGGUGAAGCGAAGGGAUUGUGAGAUCAACGUGUUGGGGGGGGGGGAGACUAAAGGGAAACAGGUGUUUAGCCGGAGAACGCGCUCCGUGGAUUUCCUAUCAAGUCAGUGGUCUUGGGUUUAACUUUGAAACAAAUAAAAAUUUUUAAAAACUGAGUUAAGAGCACUGUGGAUUUCAGCUUGAGGCCUAUGUCAAAGUUUUAUUCUGUGACAUAGCACGUUCUUAUGUGAAGGAAGGAUUCAGAGACUAAUCCUUCAGAGAAGGAUGCUCUCGGUUUUACGUUUUCCCCGAAGUGUUUUUAUACCCCCUCGAGUGGGUUGAGGGGUUUUGGUAACUACAGAUGUCAUGGGAAUAGGGAAAGAGGAUUGACAAAGAGUCCAGGCAUUGGGAAGCUGUGCCCUCUCAAGUUGCUGCUUGAGUUGAAGCCUAAAUGUCCAUUCUGUUAAUAAGUCUCUCGAUUAGUAAAGUAGCUGUAUUUUGAUUUCAUUUCUCUUAUUAAACAUGCUGAUAGGAUUAUUCCUUUAAAGCCACACAGGGGCCGGAUUUGGGGGUGAGGGACUCUUGCAACCAGCCCAGUGGAGACAUCCCCCACCCCUUUUGCUGUCUUGCAGGCUGUUGCCACAGACUAGGCAUCAGGACAGUAAAUCCCAGAUUUGCCUAAGGAGCUACAUGGUAGUAACGUGGUUUACACUUGCUACAGAAGCCCCCAUGGUCUAAAAUAAAACUGCCUGUCAGCUCAGAUUAUUGAACCCAUGAUCAGCAGCCCAUAGUGAGGGCUCAUUACCUGGUAAUGUCAUCCUUUUGGUGACAAGGUGGUAAUAGCUCUCCAGUGGGACUUUAAUCAGAGGCAAGUAGCCUUCUGCACAGUUGACUUACAUCAAAUACCAGAACCUUCCUGUGGUUCUUAAGGGGGUUUUUUGGUUUUUUGUCUUUGAGGGCCGCACCCACCACAUGUGGAGGUUCCCAGGCUAGGGGUCUAAUCGGAGCUACAGCUGCCUGCCACAGCCACAGCCACGCCAGAUCCGAGUCACGUCUGCAGCCUACACAGCUUGCAGCAACGCCGGAUCCUUAACCUGCUGAGGGAGGCCACGGAUUGGACCUGCAACCUCAUGGUUCCUCGUCGGGUUCGCUUCUGCUGCACCACGACGGGAACUCACUUUGGUUCUUGAAUGCUGAAUGCUCCAUGCUAAACAUCCUGCAUGGUACACACCUUUCCCCAACACACAGAGACAGUGGUCAUCCAUUUAUGCAAUUACCUAGUUGCAAAUCACAUUCUGCCUCUUGUGCUCCCACUUUAUCAUGGGGCAGAAGUAAGACGGUCCUCUUCUCGGGCUGUUAAGACAUGUCCUUGAGUUUGUGAGGCUGGAUGUGCUGGUGGGAGGAUUAGGGCUGGGAGUGUGCAUGUGCUUCUGCUUCAUCUGUUACCUGAGACCCUGAUUCCUGCUGUCACUCAGGGCCAGUGCUGCCUUGGAAAUGCUUAGCUCCGGAGUGCCUCUGCCUGUGCCUCAUGCCCACGAGGGCCACAGUCUCAUCUUGAGUGGUGUCUUGCGGCAGAGCAGUCAGUCCAUUGUUCCUUGACCGGGUUGGGCUGUCUCUCUCAGACCAGAGGGGAGUCUUGGGCCAAGGACAAGGUGGGAUGUCCCCGAGACACGUUUCAGUGACAGUUAGAGAUCCACUCUGUCCUCUGGAGGGGAGAAGGAUGUUGAAGAUGGUUGGAGCCCUUCAGGCUGAAAAAAACAAGCAGGCAAUUUUGGCCACUUGAGGGGCCAGGGGCCACAGCUCUGCAGGAGCAAAGAUCUUGGGGGGGUGGGGUCUCUGGGUCAGCGCUGGUACAGCCAGAGGAUGCCGGCCUCAUGCAGGUCCUUCCACAAGGUGGCUUCCAGGGACAGGUCGUGGUUCACAUAGAAUAUCAGCGGCUUCUUUAUUCGCUCGAAAUAGUGGUCAGAAAAUUUCCAGUAGUUGCUUGUGAUGAAGCCAUAGGCACUAACCUGGACAAGGACAGUCACUGAUUUAGCACUUACAAGGCCUCUAGUAGUGCAGACUCCUGUAAGGUGACAUGAAUUCAGGAAGCCUCCCCCCUCCCUAGGUGACUUGGUGAAGAUGCGGGCAAACAGCAAUCCUCACCUCUGGCACUGUGCUCUUUCUGCACCUUCUCUGACCCCAGCCCUAGAAAUCCUAGGUAGAUAUUACCUAAACGUGUGUGUCCAGUCACAGACUGGUGAGUAGCUGGGUUGGGUUUUGAACUUUUGGUCUGUGACACCAAAGUCGUCGUCAUUAAGCUCAAGACGGAGGCAGAAAACCCCUUACUACCCUGUUCCAUCAGGGACGGCGGACAAGAGACUUGCUACAAUCGGGAAAAG